AUGCUCCAUCUCUCUCAGGAUGUGGAGGCCCUGCGUGGAGAGCUGUGUCGUAAGGACGAGGAGUGCCGCGAGCAGGAGCGGCGACUGGCUGCGCUGGAGCAGCAGGUGCAGGAGAGGACUGGUGUGAUAGUUCAGCUGCAGCAGCAGUUAGAGGAGGCAGCACGGCCCAGACAGGAGCUCCAGCUGCUUCGUGAUGGUGAGGAGACUCUGUCUCGCCAGGCUGCUCUGCCGCUGCAGGUCAAGUAUGUGACCAAGACGGUUGAAGUGGAGUCAGCCCAGAGUAAGCAGGCUUUAAUAGAGGCCCAGGCCCAUAACCAGGCGCUGCAGGAGCAGCUGAGUGUUCAGAGGCAGCUCCUCAGAGAGCUGGAGCAGCAGCUCCACGAGUCCCAGAGAAGCAGCAGUCAGCUCCGCCAGCAGGUACCACACUCACUUCCUGUGUGCGCUGUUUUGAAUCUCCUGAAUUAUCAUGUGGCCAAAUGUGUGCGGAUGAACCUCCUGACGCUGCAGCCGGCCCUGAGGACCCUCACCUGUGAUUACAACUGUCUGAAGAGACAGGUGCAGGACUUCCCUUACAUGCUGGAGAAAGCCAUCACCGAGGCAAAGCAGGAGAUCUGUCAGGUGAUUGGAGAGGUGAGCAGUGCAAACCAAGAGCUGCUGCGCAAAUACAAGCGGGAGAUGAACCUGAGGAAGAAAUGCCACAAUGAACUGGUGCGCCUCAAAGGAAACAUUCGUGUGUUGUGCCGAGUACGUCCCGUAUGUGCUGGAGAAACAGAUGCUGCUGACACCAAAAACAAAGUGACCUUUGACCCUGAUGAUGAUGCUGUUCUCUACUUGUCCAAUAAGGGCAAGCUCAUGACCUUUGAACUUGACAAAGUCUUUCCCACUCAGGCCACUCAGGAGGAGGUGUUCCAGGAAGUGCAGUCUCUGGUCACUUCCUGUAUUGAUGGCUUUAACGUAUGCAUCUUUGCCUAUGGGCAGACCGGCUCUGGAAAGACCUAUACUAUGGAGGGUGUCCCUGAAGACCCUGGCAUUAACCAGCGUGCUCUGCGGCUGCUCUUCUCUGAAGUGUUGGAGAAAAAGCCUGACUGGGACUAUAAGAUCACCGUCAGCAUGGUGGAAAUCUACAAUGAGACACUUCGGAAUCUGUUGGGCGACAAUCCCAAUGAGAAGCUGGAUAUAAAGAUGUGUCCAGACGGCAGUGGACAGCUGUAUGUGCCAGGACUCACGGAGUUCACCGUGGAGAGCGUGGAGGACAUUAACAAGGUGUUUGACCUGGGUCACAUGAACAGGGCGACAGCGUGCACUAAUCUAAACGAGCACAGCUCUCGCUCUCACGCUCUCCUGAUCGUCACAGUGGCAGGUUUCAACUCUUCCACGGGCCACCGUACCUCAGGUAAGCUCAAUCUGGUGGAUCUGGCUGGUUCCGAGCGGAUCACCAAAUCCGGCGCUGAGGGCAGCCGUCUGCGCGAGGCUCAGUGUAUCAACAAAUCACUGUCUGCGCUGGGCGACGUCAUCAACGCCCUGCGCUCCAAACACUCGCACGUGCCCUUCAGGAACUCGCGUCUCACGUACCUGCUGCAGGACUCGCUCAGCGGAGACAGCAAGACCCUCAUGAUGGUGCAGGUGUCUCCUCUAGAGAGUAACGUCAGUGAGUCGGUUUGCUCUCUGAAGUUCGCUCAGCGUGUUCGGUCUGUUGAGAUCGGGCCCUCGUCUUCCUCACGCCGCCAAGCAGAGAACUCCUCUACAUCCUCCUCUCCAACUCAUGACGGCGUGGAGGUACAGCGUCACAAACACACACAUCCUCAAGUAGGAUUAGGGCCAAGCAAUAAUAAAAAAAUAAAACCAUCUCGAGAUUAA
ensembl:lncRNA